UACGUAGGGUGCGAGCGUUGUCCGGAAUUAUUGGGCGUAAAGAGCUUGUAGGCGGCUUGUUGCGUCUGCUGUGAAAAUCCGGGGCUCAACCCCGGACUUGCAGUGGGUACGGGCAGACUAGAGUGUGGUAGGGGAGACUGGAAUUCCUGGUGUAGCGGUGAAAUGCGCAGAUAUCAGGAGGAACACCGAUAGCGAAGGCAGGUCUCUGGGCCACUACUGACGCUGAGAAGCGAAAGCAUGGGGAGCGAACAGG
rnacentral:rRNA from 1 species